GAAGGGAGGGGAAGUUACACACUUCUGUUCUGAAUGUUGCUUCUCCUUUGGAUACUUCGGUCAUGCAUCUUUAUUCAACUUUUUAAAAAAAAUCAUAAAUAAGCAAACGUAAGUGGUUCUAAUUUUUUUUUUCCAGAAAAAUUACCUACAGAGUCAGCUAUAUGUCUUACCUACCUAAGACUUUACUCUAUUUGGAAACUAAGAGACUAGGCAAUUUCACAAUGUGCCAGUUAGGGGCAAGAGCUUUGUAAUAUGCAGAUGCUCCCAGAAAUAGAAGAUGAAGUUUGCAAGACCAAAUACUAUUUUUGCCUCUUUAAGGAAAAAUCAGGAGACUCUAACAAGGAGAUAUUCUAAGACUUCAACAACUAAAGGAAAUAAUGGAUUAACAAGUAAAGGAAGAUUUUUGAAUCCUGAAGAUCCUUCCCACUUCUUCUGCAAGAUGCCCUUGAAUAUCUUUUAGAAAAUAAAUUGCCCUCCUUCCUGACUUCAGCUAACUGGCUUGCAUGAGACUGAUACCACACUCAGCUGCUGGAGAUGACCUCAAAUGGUUUAAGCCAAUCAGCAUUAAAUUACAUCUUUUAAGGGGGAAUGGGUUUGGACUGGGAGCUUGAAAACCUGUGAGUCUUGUUGGAGUCUCAAGACUUUUGCUUGGAAUUCUGGGGCUUGGAUGCCAUUUUCCCUUUUGGACUUGAAGGAAGAGGUCUAGAACCUUGAGAGUUGCCAGAGCCACCUUGGGAUUACCAGGAAAGAAGAUGCCCGAGGAAAGAAUUAACAGCACAAAAGCAGAACAUAGAAAGGAAAAGGCGAGAAGAAUGCUGUGCUGUUGGAAUAGAAUAAUUGAAAGACCUCACUGAGGGUGUCACCAUUCCCUACCAGCCUUUUACAUACAUGUCCUUCUAUACCUGCCAUCCUUCAGCCUCUGCUCAAAUGUCAGCCCUUCUGCAGAGCCUUCUCUGGUGAGUUAAAUUCCAGUGUCUGUGCUCUUGUGGUUA